rnacentral:rRNA from 1 species
CGGGGUGCAGCAGGCGCGAAAACUCCACAAUGUACGGAAGUACGAUGGGGUUACCUCGAGUGCAGUCUGAAAAAGGUUGCUUUUCCAUAGAGUAAUAUCCUGUGGGAAUAAGAGGGGGGCAAGACUGGUGUCAGCCGCCGCGGUAACACCAGCCCCUCGAGUGGUGGGGACUAUUAUUUGGCCUAAAGCGUCCGUAGCCGGCUGUAACCGUCUCCCGUCAAAUCCAGCGUCUCAAGCGUUGGACUGCGGGUGAUACCUUGCAGCUUGAGGGUGGGACAGGUGAGCGGUAUUUCCGGGGUAGGGGCGAAAUCCUUUGAUCCCGGGAGGACCACCAGUGGCGAAGGCUGCUCACUAGAACACGCCUGACGGUCAGGGACGAAAGCUGGGGUAGCGAACCGGAUUAGAUACCCGGGUAGUCCCAGCUGUAAACGAUGCGCGCUAGGUGUUGGGUCGGCCAUGAGCCGCCCCAGUGCCGCAGGGAAGCCGUUAAGCGCGCCGCCUGGGGAGUACGGUCGCAAGGCUGAAACUUAAAGGAAUUGGCGGGGGAGCACAAG